AGGACACCAGCGAUUAGUCGGUGUUAAUAUACGACCCGACUAGCAGCUUCCGGGAAACCAAAGUUUUUCGUUUCCGGGGGAAGUAUGGUUGCAAAGCUGAAACUUAAAGGAAUUGACGGAAGGGCACCACCAGGAGUGGAGCCUGCGGCUUAAUUUGACUCAACACGGGAAAACUCACCCGGCCCGGACACCGUAAGGAUUGACAGACUGAGAGCUCUUUCUUAAUUCGGUGGGUGGUGGUGCAUGGCCGUUCUUAGUUGGUGGAGCGAUUUGUCUGGUUAAUUCCGAUAACGAACGAGACUCUGGCCUAUUAAAUAGUCGGUAUAUCCAGAAAAGUUUACCGUACUUCUUAGAGGGACAAACGGCGUCUAGCCGCGUGAAAUAGAGCAAUAACAGGUCUGUGAUGCCCUUAGAUGUCCGGGGCUGCACGCGCGCUACACUGAAAGAAUCAGUAUGCGCUUUAACCUAGUCCGGAAGGAUUGGGUAACCCGAGCAAAUUCUUUCGUGCUUGGGAUAGGGAAUUGCAAUUAUUUCCCUUAAACGAGGAAUUCCCAGUAAAUGCGGGUCAUAAGCUCGCGUUGAUUACGUCCCUGCCCUUUGUACACACCGCCCGUCGCUACUACCGAUUGGAUGACUUAGUGAGGUCUUAGGACCGACGUAAAGGAGCUUUCGCGAGUUCUUUUUCGUUGGAAAUUUGAUCGAACUACGUUAUCUAGAGGAAGUAAAAGUCGUAACAAGGUUUCCGUAGUGAACCUGCGGAAGGAUC
rnacentral:rRNA from 1 species